rnacentral:misc_RNA from 1 species
AUUAUUCUGAGGCAUGUCUAACUGCAAUAAGGUUUGAGUAUAGGAUUUAAUAAGUUUAAAUGAAACAUAACUAAGAAUGACUACAACAACUAGCAUAUUAGCAGUGAAAGAAAAUAUGUACUCAGUAUUCCACAUUUUUAACUACAACCACAGUGUAAAAAGUCCAGAAAACUAUUUGAGUAAGUGCAACUGGGUAAGAUUCUAAAACCCAACCAAAUGAGGAAAUCAGAAUUCUCUAGUAUGAUUCUACUGCAGAACAUAUUUUAGGCAUAAACUACAAAUUGAUCAAUAUUAUGCCAAAAAAAAAGAAAAAAAGAAAAAUAAUAAUAUAAAAUAAUAUAACAGACCUUUGAGACAUAGGCAAUGAAACUUAUAAUUGGCCCAGCAAUAUAA